rnacentral:rRNA from 1 species
GAUGAACGCUGGCGGCGUGCUUAACACAUGCCAGUCGAGCGAGAAGUUUUGAAAAGAUUCUUCGGAUGAAAUUUAAAAUGGAAAGCGGCGGACGGGUGAGUAACGCGUAGGCAACCUGCCCCAUACAAAGGGAUAGCAUUUGGAAACGAAUAUUAAUACCUUAUGAAACUUAACUAGUGCAUGCUAGGUAGGUCAAAGAUUUAUCGGUAUGGGAUGGGCCUGCGUCUGAUUAGCUAGUUGGUGAGGUAACGGCUCACCAAGGCGACGAUCAGUAGCCGACCUGAGAGGGUGAACGGCCACAUGGGAACUGAGACACGGUCCAAACUCCUACGGGAGGCAGCAGUGGGGAAUAUUGCACAAUGGGGGAAACCCUGAUGCAGCAACGCCGCGUGAACGAUGAAGGCCUUUGGGUCGUAAAGUUCUGUUCUAGGUGAUGAAAACUGACAGUAACCUAGGAGAAAGCCCCGGCUAACUCCGUG